GAUGAACGCUGGCGGCGUGCCUAAUACAUGCAAGUCGAGCGAACAGACGAGGAGCUUGCUCCUCUGACGUUAGCGGCGGACGGGUGAGUAACACGUGGAUAACCUACCUAUAAGACUGGGAUAACUUCGGGAAACCGGAGCUAAUACCGGAUAAUAUAUUGAACCGCAUGGUUCAAUAGUGAAAGACGGUUUUGCUGUCACUUAUAGAUUGAUCCACGCCGCAUUAGCUAGUUGGUAAGGUAAUGGCUUACCAAGGCAACGAUGCGUACCCGACCUGAGAGGGUGAUCGGCCACACUGGAACUGAGACACGGUCCAGACUCCUACGGGAGGAAGCAGUAGGGAAUCUUCCGCAAUGGGCGAAAGCCUGACGGAGCAACGCCGCGUGAGUGAUGAAGGUCUUCGGAUCGUAAAACUCUGUUAUUAGGGAAGAACAAAUGUGUAAGUAACUAUGCACGUCUUGACGGUACCUAAUCAGAAAGCCACGGCUAACUACGUG
rnacentral:rRNA from 1 species